rnacentral:rRNA from 1 species
UGCUUGCACCUUUCAAGCGAGUGGCGAACGGGUGAGUAACACGUGGAUAACCUGCCUCAAGGCUGGGGAUAACAUUUGGAAACAGAUGCUAAUACCGAAUAAAACUUAGUAUCGCAUGAUAUCAAGUUAAAAGGCGCUACGGCGUCACCUAGAGAUGGAUCCGCGGUGCAUUAGUUAGUUGGUGGGGUAAAGGCUUACCAAGACGAUGAUGCAUAGCCGAGUUGAGAGACUGAUCGGCCACAUUGGGACUGAGACACGGCCCAAACUCCUACGGGAGGCUGCAGUAGGGAAUCUUCCACAAUGGGCGCAAGCCUGAUGGAGCAACGCCGCGUGUGUGAUGAAGGCUUUCGGGUCGUAAAGCACUGUUGUAUGGGAAGAAAUGCUAAAAUAGGGAAUGAUUUUAGUUUGACGGUACCAUACCAGAAAGGGACGGCUAAAUACGUGCCAGCAGCCGCGGUAAUACGUAUGUCCCGAGCGUUAUCCGGAUUUAUUGGGCGUAAAGCGAGCGCAGACGGUUGAUUAAGUCUGAUGUGAAAGCCCGGAGCUCAACUCCGGAAUGGCAUUGGAAACUGGUUAACUUGAGUGUUGUAGAGGUAAGUGGAACUCCAUG